UACGGAGGGUGCAAGCGUUAUCCGGAUUCACUGGGUUUAAAGGGUGCGUAGGUGGCUUUGUAAGUCAGGGGUGAAAGUUUUCGGCCCAACCGGAAAAUUGCCUUUGAUACUGGCGAGCUCGAGUGCGUGAGGGGUAACCGGAACGAGCAGUGUAGCGGUGAAAUGCGUAGAUAUUGCUCGGAAGGCCAACGGCGAAGGCAGGUUACUGGUACGCAACUGACGCUGAGGCACGAAAGCGUGGGGAGCAAACAGG
rnacentral:rRNA from 1 species